rnacentral:rRNA from 1 species
ACAAGCGGAGGAGCAUGUGGUUUAAUCGAUGAUACGCGAGGAACCUUACCUGGGCUCGAACGUAAGAUGACUGUAGGUGAAAGCUUACAUCUCUUCGGAGCAUUUUACGAGGUGCUGCAUGGUUGUCGUCAGCUCGUGCCGUGAGGUGUCGGGUUAAGUCCCAUAACGAGCGCAACCCUACCUUUAGUUGCCAUCAGGUAAUGCUGGGGACUCUAAAGGAACUGCCUACGCAAGUAGUGAGGAAGGCGGGGAUGACGUCAAAUCAGCACGGCCCUUACGUCCAGGGCUACACACGUGCUACAAUGGCCGAUACAGAGGGCAGCUACCUGGUGACAGGAUGCAAAUCUCCAAAGUCGGUCUCAGUUCGGAUCGGAGUCUGCAACCCGACUCCGUGAAGUUGGAUUCGCUAGUAAUCGCGCAUCAGCCAUGGCGCGGUGAAUACGUUCCCGGGCCUU